rnacentral:SRP_RNA from 1 species
GCCUAUAGUUCCACCUACUCAGGAGGCUGAGGCAGGAGGGUCACUUGAACUCAGGAAUUCUAGACUGUAAUGCACCAUGACGAUCAGGGGUCCACACUAAUUUCGAUGUCAAUGUGGUGACCUCCUGAGAGUGCGAGGUGCCCCAAGUUUGUCUGAGGAGGGGUGAACUGGCCCAGGUCAGAAAUAGAAUAGGUCAAAACUCCCGUGCCGAUCGCUAGUGGAAUCAGGCCUGUGCAUAGCCACCGUGCUCCAGCCUGGGCAACUGAGACCCUUUUCUCU